GACGAACGCUGGCGGCGUGCUUAACACAUGCAAGUCGAACGGAAAGGCCCUGCUUUUGUGGGGUGCUCGAGUGGCGAACGGGUGAGUAACACGUGAGUAACCUGCCCUUGACUUUGGGAUAACUUCAGGAAACUGGGGCUAAUACCGGAUAGGAGCUCCUGCUGCAUGGUGGGGGUUGGAAAGUUUCGGCGGUUGGGGAUGGACUCGCGGCUUAUCAGCUUGUUGGUGGGGUAGUGGCUUACCAAGGCUUUGACGGGUAGCCGGCCUGAGAAGGUGAACGGCCACAUUGGGCCUGAGAUACGGCCCAGACUCCUACGGGAGGCAGCAGUGGGGAAUAUUGCACAAUGGGCGGAAGCCUGAUGCAGCAACGCCGCGUGCGGGAUGACGGCCUUCGGGUUGUAAACCGCUUUCGCCUGUGACGAAGCGUGAGUGACGGUAAUGGGUAAAGAAGCACCGGCUAACUACGUG
rnacentral:rRNA from 1 species